rnacentral:rRNA from 1 species
UACGUAGGUGGCAAGCGUUGUCCGGAUUUAUUGGGUUUAAGGGUGCGUAGGCGGUUCUUUUAAGUCAGUGCUGAAAUACUCCAGCUUAACUGGAGGGGUGGCAUUGAUACUGGGGAACUUGAGUGUAGUCGAGGUAGGCGGAAUUGACGGUGUAGCGGUGAAAUGCUUAGAUAUCGUCAAAGAACACCGAUAGUGAAGACAGCUUACUAGACUACAACUGACGCUGAGGCACGAAAGUGUGGGGAUCAAACAGG